AUUGAACGCUGGCGGCAUGCCUUACACAUGCAAGUCGAACGGCAGCACGGGGGCAACCCUGGUGGCGAGUGGCGAACGGGUGAGUAAUGCAUCGGAACGUGCCCAGUAGUGGGGGAUAGCCCGGCGAAAGCCGGAUUAAUACCGCAUACGUACUGAGGUAGAAAGCGGGGGACCGAAAGGCCUCGCGCUAUUGGAGCGGCCGAUGUCGGAUUAGCUUGUUGGUGGGGUAAUGGCCUACCAAGGCGACGAUCCGUAACUGGUCUGAGAGGACGACCAGUCACACUGGGACUGAGACACGGCCCAGACUCCUACGGGAGGCAGCAGUGGGGAAUUUUGGACAAUGGGCGCAAGCCUGAUCCAGCAAUGCCGCGUGUGUGAAGAAGGCCUUC
rnacentral:rRNA from 1 species